rnacentral:rRNA from 1 species
UACGGGGGGAGCAAGCGUUGUUCGGAUUUACUGGGCGUAAAGGGCGCGUAGGCGGCACCGCAAGUCGACUGUGAAAUCUCCGGGCUUAACCCGGAAAGGUCAGCCGAUACUGCGGGGCUAGAGUGCAGAAGGGGCAACUGGAAUUCUCGGUGUAGCGGUGAAAUGCGUAGAUAUCCGAAGGAACAUCAGUGGCGAAAGCGACUUCCUGGACCAGAACUGACGAUCAGGCACGAAAGCGUGGGGAGCAAACAGG